rnacentral:rRNA from 1 species
CCUACGGGAGGCAGCAGUAAGGAAUAUUGGUCAAUGGACGCAAGUCUGAACCAGCCAUGCCGCGUGGAGGAUGACGGCCCUCUGGGUUGUAAACUCCUUUUAUCUGGGAAGAAAUGCAGUUUUUCUAAACUGUUUGACGGUACCAGAGGAAUAAGCACCGGCUAACUCCGUGCCAGCAGCCGCGGUAAUACGGAGGGUGCAAGCGUUAUCCGGAUUCACUGGGUUUAAAGGGUGCGUAGGUGGAGUGGUAAGUCAGUGGUGAAAUCUCCAAGCUUAACUUGGAAACUGCCGUUGAUACUAUCAUUCUUGAAUAUCGUGGAGGUAAGCGGAAUAUGUCAUGUAGCGGUGAAAUGCUUAGAUAUGACAUAGAACACCGAUUGCGAAGGCAGCUUGCUACACGAUCAUUGACACUGAGGCACGAAAGCGUGGGGAUCAAACAGGAUUAGAUACCCUGGUAGUCCACGCCCUAAACGAUGAUUACUCGACAUCAGCGAUACACUGUUGGUGUCUGAGCGAAAGCAUUAAGUAAUCCACCUGGGAAGUACGAUCGCAAGAUUGAAACUCAAAGGAAUUGACGG